GNGAGGAGAAAGAUUUAUCGCUGAGGGAUUAGCCCGCGUAGGAUUAGCUAGUUGGUGAGGUAACGGCUCACCAAGGCGACGAUCCUUAGCUGGUCUGAGAGGACGAUCAGCCACACUGGGACUGAGACACGGCCCAGACUCCUACGGGAGGCAGCAGUGGGGAAUAUUGGACAAUGGGCGCAAGCCUGAUCCAGCCAUGCCGCGUGAGUGACGAAGGCCUUAGGGUUGUAAAGCUCUUUUGGCGGGGACGAUAAUGACGGUACCCGCAGAAUAAGCCCCGGCUAACUUCGUGCCAGCAGCCGCGGUAAUACGAAGGGGGCUAGCGUUGUUCGGAAUCACUGGGCGUAAAGCGCACGUAGGCGGACUUUCAAGUCAGGGGUGAAAUCCCGGGGCUCAACCUCGGAACUGCCUUUGAUACUGUUGGUCUCGAAUCCGGUAGA
rnacentral:rRNA from 1 species